AACCCAUGUUGUGGACACUUCUGCAAGAGAUCCUUGAAUCGUUCCCAUGUCUCAAACAAUGAUUCUAACUCCAUCUAAACAUACGAAAAGAUCAUAUUUUGAAGCU